ACUGGCUAUUUUGAAAGUAUCUUUAUGACUCUGCAAUUUUAUGCCUACUCUGUGUUCUACUCUUCAAUUCAAGUAGAUGUCUUAGAUGUAGCGCCAACAAGUGUUUUUCACUUCCUCGGUCCAUGCAUUUAAUUGCCAAUCUGCAGAGUCUGGCUACAUGUUGAGCCGAUCUGCCACACCUGAAAGAAAUAUGAAUUUCCUUCGGAAAUAACUUGUGUUCCUCAAUAGGCUUUGCUCUAAAACCUCUACUUUAGAGGAUGAUACUUUUUAUGUAUCAAGCAUUGCUUUCCAGGGCUUUCCACUGUCUUGGCAGUGAGGGAGCGUGUAACAAAAAGGGAACUUGAAAAAAAUUGACCAACGUCAUCAUUCAAACAGACACCUGGACAAUCCUGCGACUAAAAUUCCACUGGCAGCGUUUUAGGACUUCGUGGCUGACUCCUUUUUGCUUCUUGUGCCUCCAGCUAGUCCUUCGUUUAAGAUGACCACCACUUCCCUUCCUCCCGAAGGGAGAGGCAUCAGCCCCAACCUGUCCGCCUGUCGAGAGUCUCAGUGUAACAACCAUGGUAACUGUGUGACUCCUCCUGGUGGUGGUACAGAUCUACUAUGCAACUGUGAUCUGGGCUACAAGGGUGACUCCUGCGGGGAAACGGUCAAUGGAGCGCUAGGUUUACCUUUGACCCUCAGCGUGUUAGGCGUCCUCAUUGGCCUCGCAAUCCUGGCAUUUGUCCUUGCCAAGUACCAGCAGAGAAAACGGAAGCAGCGAAGGAAACUACUGGAACAAAAAGCCUAAAACAGUGCUGCUUAACGUGGAUAACUGUCGAACAGAACGUUUGACCUACUUUGAUGAUCAAAUUGUGGCUACUAUAAGAAUUAUUCUGCAGCAUCCUGGAGACUCUAGCACCAACUUCACAAACUGAGUGCCAAGGCAUAUGGGAGAGUCGCUUCCUAUAUAGUAUUUUUCCAUUUAUAUAAAUGUAUCCAUCUCCAGCUGCGUCGUAUCGCAAGCCUCAUGCUUAUUAAACUUGUGCCUCAUCUCGGAAAACAACAAGACUGGAUAAUUCUGUUGACCUAAUUUUAAACUUGGAGUGAAAAUGUCUGUAUUCUAAUCAGCAGCAGCUUCCUUGAUCACAUUUCUUGGAUGCUAAGGCAUGCUUCUGCAAUUAGUUUAAACUCUGACACUUGUUAGUAAAUUAAUGUAAAUGUUCAUCCUCUGUGAGGGAGCUGCAGUUUAGUUUAAGUAAAGCAAGUGGUUGUUAUUUUUCUAGUGACGGCUUCUAACAGAGAUAACACUUAAGAUAACUCUAGAUUGUUUAACGGGCUAAGUCAGAAGCUGAUUUGAUGCCAUACAGUUUUUAUAAAAAUUUAUGUAGAAAAUAUGCACUUUUUUUCCACUCGCGUGGGUUUAUUUCAUUUCAUUCAGUACAUACUUUUGUACCGUGUGCAGUUGCUGCCUGUUUUGUAUUGUUCCCCUGGAAUUUCUUUCUUCUAAGCGUGUGUGCGCGCCUUUUAACACUUCAGGUUUUUCGGGAAGUAUUUCUACCUAUUUCUAAGUUCCCUGUCUUUGAUGCUGUUGUAACAAAAAUGCACCAGUACAUCACUGGCCUGCUUUUACUCUCAUAUACGGCUAUGCUUAUGAAAAUAAUGCAUGUAAAUCUGUGCAGACACAAUCCUGCAGAGCUGUCAACAACAUGCGCAUAUUGUACAGAUGAUAGGAGAGUGGUCAGAGCAGAUUUCAAUCUUGGCAUGUUUAAAACUUGACAGUACAUGUGCUUUUAAAUGAGUUCGUGUGCUCUUUGAAUUUCAGCCUACAAACUGAUUACCACUCAGUACACUUCUGGUCCUUGCAGGGCGUCACAGUGUUUUAUCACUCAGGGUAGGCUGUCUUUGAGCCCCUGUUACAGUAAACCUCUUUUUCUGGCAUCCAGUGACAUGAUAAUAUCAGGUUCGGUGUUUACUAAACUCAGACAUGAUGGCUGUGAACAUUCAAUCCUCACAGGCUGAGAACCUAACCAGUUUUGCCAUAUAAUAAGAUGUGUAACAACAAAAAAGUGGAAGCAUCUGCCUUCAGGGUAUAACUAGGUCAACACUUGCUGUCCUAAUAAGGGACAGACUUUGCAUGCUUGUUUGCAGAAGGAGGAGCUACUUGUAUCAUGGCAAUUAGAAGUACAUCCCACAAGUAUAACUACUCAAGAUUACACAAAUUCCUCAUGAGUCGGCUUUUGGCUGUAUGGUCAGCCACUGUAUGCAGGAAAUGAGGAUAUUGUUUAUUAGACUCAUCAGACUGAUUUGAACCUAAAUGCUGGGAGCAGUAACACAAGACGGUACUAUUACUGUAUCCAUCACUUGGUGGUGUUAAUAAGCUGUCAGGGUAGUUCAACAUCUAGCUCAUAGAAGAGGAGCAAGCGUAACACUUUUAAAUGUUGCAAAUGCAACGUUUCACCAAACAUGAGCAAACACAGCCUGUUUCUGUGCAGUUUGUCACACUAUGCCUGCAAGCCAAACAUACAGCUGCUGUACUUCAGUGAAAGAUAGAAAUGAGAGAUGGCUUCACUGAGAGAGAGAGAGGAUAUAAGAAAGCCAGGACAAACAAGGAAGGAGUAAGGACAGUUCAGCUUAUAACAUCCCAAUUCUUUUUAGAGUUAUUUGAUCAGAUAUUGGAUCUAUGAACAGGAACUUUUAUUCAACUGUUAUUUAAAGGUAUAAAAAUACUGGGACAUUUAGUGCAGGCCACACUGAGUUUAAAGGGCUUUGGUAAAGUUUAAAUCGCUAUAUGGGUCUAGUGCAGUGAGGUUUUCAUGAGUUAAUGUUAGGCUACAUGAAGGGUGCUUCACAUCAAAUGAAAUUUAAGCUGAUUGAUCAAAUUCUACCUUUUAACCAGCUUUAUACUGUCUAUCGGUGGGAAAUCAGGCAUAUAACAUGUGCUUGCAUCCUUUGUUUUUGUUUUUUUGUUUUUUGUAUUCAUGCAAGCACAGCAUAUGUGCUUGCAUGAAUUUUCCUGUUUAAUUGUGGAGGGGCAAGCUCACCCAUCUGUACCUGACAGAGCAAUUUUUAAAAAAAUUUCCUUUGUUGUUCUCUGCGUGUGCUCUAUAUCACGGAUGCUCAAGCUGUGGGAAUUAUUUAAAAGUAGCAUUUCAGUUAGAAUAAACUUCAGUCCCUCCUGUUAACGUUAUUUUGUCAUUAUAUUAGUUCAAAAGGUUAAGUUAACAUGGGGGGGGGCUCGUUUUUUCUUCUGUGCUUUGAGUACAUUUCAGAGACUGUGCUUUUUCAACUUUUAAGUAAAGCAGUUAAAUUGCCACUUCCACUUUUGCCAGAGUACUUUUCAACACAAGUAUUUCAACUCAAGUAAUGUGAGUGUGUACUUUUGCCAUCUCUGCUGCACUUUGAAAAUUUGUCUCCAAAAGUUCUGUUUAUCGGGAUGUAGCGUUUUGUGGAAGAAAAUUUGUCUUUUUACAGGGAAGUUCCUGAAUUUUACAUUUAAUUCAAAUGGAUUUAAUAAAAAAAAAUAAAAAGUGGAGGAAAGACAUUGAA